rnacentral:rRNA from 1 species
UACGGGGGGGGCAAGCGUUGUUCGGAAUUACUGGGCGUAAAGGGCGCGUAGGCGGCCACCGCAAGUCAGUUGUGAAAUCUCUGGGCUUAACCCUGAACGGUCAGCUGAUACUGCGGGGCUAGAGUGCAGAAGGGGCAACUGGAAUUCUCGGUGUAGCGGUGAAAUGCGUAGAUAUCGAGAGGAACACCUGCGGCGAAGGCGACUUCCUGGCCUGUUCUUGACGCUGAGGCGCGAAAGCUAGGGGAGCAAACGGG